rnacentral:rRNA from 1 species
GUGAACGGUGGGCCAGGAGGCGAGGUAAGACGGGUGGGGCAGGGUUGGUUCGGAAUUACUGGGCGGAAAGGGCGCGUAGGCGGCCUUCUAAGUCGAACGUGAAAUCCCCGGGGUAAACCCGGGAACUGCGUCCGAUACGGGAAGGCUCGAAUCCGGGAGAGGGAUGUGGAAUUCCAGGUGUAGCGGUGAAAUGCGUAGAUAUCUGGAGGAACACCGGUGGCGAAGGCGACAUCCUGGACCGGUAUUGACGCUGAGGCGCGAAAGCCAGGGGAGCAAACGGGAUUAGAUACCCCAGUAGUC